rnacentral:rRNA from 1 species
CGCGUAGGUGGUUUGGUCAGUCAGAUGUGAAAGCCCUGGGCUUAACCUGGGAACUGCAUUUGGUACUGCCAGACUAGAGUAUGGUAGAGGGAAGUGGAAUUCCGGGUGUAGCGGUGAAAUGCGUAGAUAUCCGGAGGAACAUCAGUGGCGAAGGCGGCUUCCUGGACCAAUACUGACACUGAGGUGCGAAAGCGUGGGUAGCAAACA